UGCUAAGGUAGCAUAAUAACUUGCCUCUUAAUUAGAGGAUAGAAUGAAAGGAAUCACGCCCUAACAACUUUCUAAAAAUUAAAUUAAUAAAAUUUACCUAAAAGUAAAAAGGCUUUUAUACAAAAGAAGGACAACAAGACCCUGACGAACUUACACAUAUUUAGCUGGGGCAGCUAAUAAAAAAAAACUUCAACCCAUUAACCUUUACACUUGACCCAGUAACAUUGAACAUUGAACAAAGUUACCGCAGGGAUAACAGCAUAAUCAAGCUCAAGAGACCCUAUCCACUGCUUGCCAUUUAACCUCGAUGUUGAAUUAACGAGCACUAUAUUCAGCAAAAAGAAUAAAAGUAGGUCUGUUCGACCUUUAAUUCGUUACAUGAUCUGA
rnacentral:rRNA from 1 species